AGGACGAACGCUGGCGGCGUGCUUAACACAUGCAAGUCGAGCGGAAAGGCCCUUCGGGGUACUCGAGCGGCGAACGGGUGAGUAACACGUGGGCAACCUGCCCCUAGCUCUGGGAUAACUCCGGGAAACCGGUGCUAAUACCGGAUAUGACCUCGAAUGGCAUCCUUUGAGGUGGAAAGAUUUAUUGGCUAGGGAUGGGCCCGCGGCCUAUCAGCUUGUUGGUGGGGUAAUGGCCUACCAAGGCGACGACGGGUAGCCGGCCUGAGAGGGCGACCGGCCACACUGGGACUGAGACACGGCCCAGACUCCUACGGGAGGCAGCAGUGGGGAAUAUUGCGCAAUGGGCGAAAGCCUGACGCAGCGACGCCGCGUGAGGGAUGACGGCCUUCGGGUUGUAACCUCUUUCAGCUCCGACGAAGCGAAAGUGACGGUAGGAGCAGAAGAAGCACCGGCCAACUACGUGCCAGCAGCCGC
rnacentral:rRNA from 1 species